GAGGCAGCGGCUAAGACCACUAGAUCUCCCUUGGCCACGAUGAUGUAUCUUUUAAUCUGUCUUGUCUACUACAGACGCUCCAGCCUCUAACCAAUCCUUCUACCAUAACAAUUGACUGGAUAAUAAGGGUAAAGAAAUCAAAUGGGCAAUGUAGGCCAGGUCCCCUUGGAGUGUCAGUUGAGACCCAAAGUGAAGUGACCCUAAUGUAGGCCAGGUCCCCUUGGAGUGUCAGUUGAGACCCAAAGUGAAGUGACCCUAAUGUAGGCCAGGUCCCCUUGGAGUGUCAGUAGAGACCCAAAGUGAAGUGACCCUAAUGUAGGCCAGGUCCCCUUGGAGUGUCAGUUGAGACCCAAAGUGAAGUGACCCUAAUGUAGGCCAGGUCCCCUUGGAGUGUCAGUAGAGACCCAAAGUGAAGUGACCCUAAUGUAGGCCAGGUCCCCUUGGAGUGUCAGUAGAGACCCAAAGUGAAGUGACCCUAAUGUAGGCCAGGUCCCCUUGGAGUGUCAGUAGAGACCCAAAGUGAAGUGACCCUAAUGUAGGCCAGGUCCCCUUGGAGUGUCAGUAGAGACCCAAAGUGAAGUGACCCUAAUGUAGGCCAGGUCCCCUUGGAGUGUCAGUAGAGACCCAAAGUGAAGUGACCCUAAUGUAGGCCAGGUCCCCUUGGAGUGUCAGUAGAGACCCAAAGUGAAGUGACCCUAAUGUA